CUAGCAAGUACGAAGGAUGAAGCAUGGGAUGAGAAGGUGGAAAUAAGUAAUCGACAAAGAAACAAGGUCACAUGUGUAGGUGGGGGGACAUAGCUACCUGAAACUAAUGAGUUGUCUACAACCACACGGACUUCGUCUUAAACUUGACCUUUACUUCUAUAUACUCAAACAUGUGGGUCUCUCCUGUCCUACCCUCUCCAAUGCUAGUACCAUUUCACCUUCUAUCUCUCUUCCAACGUUUCUUUC
rnacentral:lncRNA from 1 species